rnacentral:rRNA from 1 species
UACGGGGGGAGCAAGCGUUGUUCGGAUUUACUGGGCGUAAAGGGUGUGUAGGCGGUUCUUUUAAGUUUGGUGUGAAAUCUCCCGGCUCAACUGGGAGGGUGCGCCGAAUACUGAGGGACUAGAGUACGGGAGAGGAAAGUGGAAUUCCUGGUGUAGCGGUGAAAUGCGUAGAUAUCAGGAGGAACACCGGUGGUGUAGACGGCUUUCUGGACCGUAACUGACGCUGAGACACGAAAGCGUGGGUAGCAAACAGG